AAGAAAUUUAUUUAAAUUAUUUAAUCACUUAAGAUUUUAUAUUACGAUUCUUAAUAAUUGUUGAGAAAAUUUCACCUAAAUAUAAUAACUGUUUUAGAUAUAUUCUAAUUUUUUUUUUUAGUUUUUGACUUGAAUAUUUCCAAAUGGAGUUAAAGAAUGAUUUUAAUGAUAAAUAAUAUAAAAUAUAAAUGAAUUCAAUUAUGAAAAUAUAUACAUAAAUUCAAAUGAAUAAUUAAUCAUCUUAGUUGUCGGUUGUCACAUUCGAAAUGUGAAAGUGAUAUAAACAUGUGAUUUUUACUC
rnacentral:lncRNA from 1 species